UUAAAGAGUGCGUAAUAGCUCACUGGUCGAGUGACUCUGCGCCGAAAAUGUACCGGGGCUAAACGUAUCACCGAAGCUGUGGAUUGACAUCUUAGAUGUCAGUGGUAGGAGAGCGUUCUAAGUGCAGCGAAGUCAGACCGUAAGGACUGGUGGAGCGCUUAGAAGUGAGAAUGCCGGUAUGAGUAGCGAAAGACAAGUGAGAAUCUUGUCCACCGAAUGCCUAAGGUUUCCUGAGGAAGGCUCGUCCGCUCAGGG
rnacentral:rRNA from 1 species